GACGAACGCUGGCGGCGUGCCUAAUACAUGCAAGUAGACCGAGUUGCGAACGGGUGAGUAACGCGUGGUAACCUACCUAUUAGAGGGGGAUAACUAUUGGAAACGAUAGCUAAUACCGCAUACCAUCGGUUGUGCCCAGAUGGGAUUAGCUAGUAGGUGGGGUAACGGCUAACCUAGGCGACAAUCCCUAGCUGGUCUGAGAGGAUGACCAGCCAAACUGGAACUGGGACACGGUCCAGACUCCUACGGGAGGCAGCAGUGGGGAAUAUUGGACAAUGGGCGAAAGCCGGAUGAAGACAUGCCGCGUGUAUGAAGAAGGCCUUCGGGUGGUAAAGUACGUUCAGCGGGGAGGCGUUACUCGAAGAAGAAGCAACGGCUAACUCCGUGCCAGCAGCCGCGGUAAUAC
rnacentral:rRNA from 1 species